AGAGUUUGAUCCUGGCUCAGAACGAACGCUGGCGGCGUGCCUAACACAUGCAAGUCGUACGAGAAAAUCCGCUUCGGCGGGUGAGUAGAGUGGCGCACGGGUGAGUAACGCGUGGAUAAUCUGCCUUUAAGCUGGGAAUAACUCACCGAAAGGUGGGCUAAUACCCGAUAAUGCUAUGGGACUUCGGUUUUAUAGCCAAAGAGAGCCUCUACAUGUAAGCCUUCACUUAAAGAUGAGUCCGCGUACCAUUAGCUAGUUGGUAGGGUAAUGGCCUACCAAGGCGACGAUGGUUAGCUGGUCUGAGAGGAUGAUCAGCCACACUGGAACUGAGACACGGUCCAGACUCCUACGGGAGGCAGCAGUGAGGAAUAUUGCGCAAUGGGGGCAACCCUGACGCAGCAACGCCGCGUGAGUGAGGAAGGUCUUCGGAUCGUAAAGCUCUGUCGGGUGGGAAGAAGUGUGCAUAGGUUAAUAGCUUGUGCACUUGACGGUACCGCCAGAGGAAGCACCGGCUAACUCCGUGCCAGCAGCCGCGGUAAUACGGGGGGUGCGAGCGUUGUUCGGAAUCAUUGGGCGUAAAGAGCGUGUAGGCGGCUAGGCAAGUCAGAUGUGAAAUCCCUGGGCUUAACCCAGGAAGUGCAUUUGAAACUGCUUAGCUUGAGUAAGGAAGAGGGAAGUGGAAUUCCUGGUGUAGAGGUGAAAUUCGUAGAUAUCAGGAGGAACACCGGUGGCGAAGGCGACUUCCUGGUCCUAUACUGACGCUGAGACGCGAGAGCGUGGGGAGCAAACAGGAUUAGAUACCCUGGUAGUCCACGCCGUAAACGAU
rnacentral:rRNA from 1 species